AUUAAAAUAUUCUUCUGUGUCAGCAAACGGGAUUAAUUGGUCUCUUAGACUAUUAGACAAAAAAAUCAAUAGUCUAAGAGACCAAUUAAUCCCGUUUGCUGACACAGAAGAAUAUUUUAAU